ACACUCCUGCGGGAGGCAGCAGUGGGGAAUUUUGGACAAUGGGCGAAAGCCUGAUCCAGCAAUGCCGCGUGAGUGAAGAAGGCCUUCGGGUUGUAAAGCUCUUUUGUCAGGGAAGAAACGGUGAGAGCUAAUAUCUUUUGCUAAUGACGGUACCUGAAGAAUAAGCACCGGCUAACUACGUGCCAGCAGCCGCGGUAAUACGUAGGGUGCAAGCGUUAAUCGGAAUUACUGGGCGUAAAGCGUGCGCAGGCGGUUUUGUAAGUCUGAUGUGAAAUCCCCGGGCUCAACCUGGGAAUUGCAUUGGAGACUGCAAGGCUAGGAUCUGGCAGAGGGGGGUAGAAUUCCACGUGUAGCAGUGAAAUGCGUAGAUAUGUGGAGGAACACCGAUGGCGAAGGCAGCCCCCUGGGUCAAGAUUGACGCUCAUGCACGAAAGCGUGGGGAGCAAACAGGAUUAGAAACCCCAGUAGUCCCAUGAU
rnacentral:rRNA from 1 species